rnacentral:rRNA from 1 species
UACGGAGGGGACUAGCGUUGUUCGGAAUUACUGGGCGUAAAGCGCACGUAGGCGGAUUUGUAAGUCAGGGGUGAAAUCCCGGGGCUCAACCUCGGAACUGCCUUUGAUACUGCAAAUCUCGAGUCCGGAAGAGGUGAGUGGAAUUCCUAGUGUAGAGGUGAAAUUCGUAGAUAUUAGGAAGAACACCAGUGGCGAAGGCGGCUCACUGGUCCAGCACCGACGUUCAGGCACGAAAGCGUGGGGAGCAAACAGG